rnacentral:rRNA from 1 species
GACGAGGGAUCCUAGCGUUGUUCGGAAUCAUUGGGCGUAAAGCGGGUGUAGGUGGCUUUGUAAGUCAGGUGUGAAAGCCCAGGGCUCAACCCUGGAAGUGCAUUUGAUACUGCGAAGCUUGAGUGCUGGAGAGGUAAGUAGAAUUCCUGGUGUAGUGGUGAAAUACGUAGAUAUCAGGAGGAAUACCGGAGGCGAAGGCGGCUUACUAGCCAGACACUGACACUCAGACCCGAAAGUGUGGGGAUCAAACAGG